GAUGAACGCUGGCGGCGUGCCUAAUACAUGCAAGUCGAGCGAACGGACGCGAAGCUUGCUUUUCUGAUGUUAGCGGCGGACGGGUGAGUAACACGUGGAUAACCUACCUAUAAGACUGGGAUAACUUCGGGAAACCGGAGCUAAUACCGGAUAAUAUUUUGAACCGCAUGGUUCAAAAGUGAAAGACGGUCUUGCUGUCACUACUAGAUGGAUACGCGCUGCAUUAGCUAGUUGGUAAGGUAAUGGCUUACCACGGCAACGAUGCAUAGCCGACGUGAGAGGGGGAUCGCCCACACGGGAACUGGGACACGGUCCAUACUCCUACGGGAGGCAGCAGUAGCGAAUCUGCCGCAGUAGGCGAAAGCCUGGCGGAGCAGCGCCGCGUGAGUGGUGGAGAUCUUCGGUUCGUGAAACUCUGUUAUGAGGGAAAAACAUAUGUGUAAGUAACUGUGCACAGCUUGACGGUACCUAGUCAGAAAGCCACGGCUAACUACGUG
rnacentral:rRNA from 1 species